GGUCCUACGGGACGCAGCAGUGGGGAAUAUUGCACAAUGGGGGAAACCCUGAUGCAGCGACGCCGCGUGGGCGAUGGAGUACUUCGGUAUGUAAAGCCCUAUCAGCAGGGAAGAAAAUGACGGUACCUGACUAAGAAGCCCCGGCUAAAUACGUGCCAGCAGCCGCGGUAAUACGUAUGGGGCAAGCGUUAUCCGGAUUUACUGGGCGUAAAGGGAGCGUAGGCGGCCUGGCAAGCCUGAUGUGAAAUACCGGGGCCCAACCCCGGGGCUGCAUUGGGAACUGCCAGGCUGGAGUGCCGGAGAGG
rnacentral:rRNA from 1 species